CUAGUUAUACCAACUUUAGUAACGACCGCAGGAUAGUAAUACAGAGAGCCACGCACUCAACCAAAACACCACUCUAUAACCACAAAUAAUGCUCAGAACAGCACCUAACUUCAUCAACAGGACAUAUAGGGUCACAGACAUAGUACUAUAUUCAGAGUUGUUCUAACUCCUAAGAAAACAUAAACUUAAGCGGGGGCGUUUCUCCACCUCUGUAGUCUAUAAGCUGGGCCAAUAAACUUCUACUGUAGUAAAAUGAAAAGGUAAAGGUGUUUUUAUUGAGCCGAAUUAUCAAUAAAAUCAUGAUUUUGUUAACAGGUAUAGAUUUAUGUGCUGUCGAGUUAGUAUAUUUGAACAAGA